rnacentral:rRNA from 1 species
AACCAGCUCUUCAAGUGAUCAGGACUAUUAUUGAGGUUAAAAAGAGCGUAGCCGGCUUGACAAGUCUCUCGUUAAAUCCAAUUGGAAGACCAUUGGUUCGCGAGAGAUACUAUCAGGCUCGGGAGCGGAAGAGGUGAGCGGUACUCCUUGGGUAGGGGUGAAAUCCUAUGAUCCAAGGGGGACCACCGGUGGCGAAGGCGGCUCACUAGAACGCGUCCGACGGUGAGGCUCGAAAGCUAGGGGAGCGAACCGGAUUAGAUACCCCAGUA